rnacentral:snRNA from 1 species
GUGGCACAUAUACUAAAAUUGGAAUCUUGGAGAGAAGAUUAGCAUGGCCCCUGUGCAAGGAUGACACGCAAAUUCGUGAAAAAUUCCACAUUUAA